UACGGGAGGCAGCAGUGGGGAAUAUUGCACAAUGGGCGCAAGCCUGAUGCAGCCAUGCCGCGUGUAUGAAAAAGGCCUUCGGGUUGUAAAGUACUUUCAGUCGUGAGGAAGGUGUUAAGGUUAAUAACCUUAGCAAUUGACGUUAGCGACAGAAGAAGCACCGGCUAACUCCGUGCCAGCAGCCGCGGUAAUACGGAGGGUGCGAGCGUUAAUCGGAAUUACUGGGCGUAAAGGGCACGCAGGCGGUUAAUUAAGUUGGAUGUGAAAUCCCCGGGCUUAACCUGGGAAUGGCAUUCAAGACUGGUUAGCUAGAGUCUUGUAGAGGGGGUAGAAUUCCAUGUGUAGCGGUGAAAUGCGUAGAGAUGUGGAGGAAUACCGGUGGCGAAGGCGGCCCCGUGGACAAAGACUGGACGCUCAUGUGCGAAAGCGUGGGGAGCAAACAGGGAUUAGAUACC
rnacentral:rRNA from 1 species